rnacentral:rRNA from 1 species
AGUGAACGCUGGCGGCAGGCCUAACACAUGCAAGUCGAGCGGCAGCGGGUCCCCGCGAGGGGAUGCCGGCGAGCGGCGGACGGGUGAGGAACACAUCGGAAUCUGCCUGGUUGUGGGGGAUAACGUAGGGAAACUUACGCUAAUACCGCAUGAGACCCUGAGUCGACGGACUGGGGGUGAAAGUGAGGGACCUUCGGCCUCACGCGACCAGAUGAGCCGAUGUCGGAUUAGCUAGUUGGCGGGGUAACGGCCCGCCAAGGCGACGAUCCGUAGCUGGUCUGAGAGGAUGAUCAGCCACACUGGGACUGAGACACGGCCCAGACUCCUACGGAGGCAGCAGUGGGGAAUCUUGCGCAAUGGGCGAAAGCCUGACGCAGCGACGCCGCGUGGA